AUUGAACGCCGGCGGCAGGCUUAACACAUGCAAGUCGAGCGGAGAUGAGGUGCUUGCACCUUAUCUUAGCGGCGGACGGGUGAGUAAUGCUUAGGAAUCUGCCAUUUAGUGGGGGACAACAUUCCGAAAGGAAUGCUAAUACCGCAUACGUCCUACGGGAGAAAGCAGGGGAUCUUCGGACCUUGCGCUAAAUGAUGAGCCUAAGUCGGAUUAGCUAGUUGGUGGGGUAAAGGCCUACCAAGGCGACGAUCUGUAGCGGGUCUGAGAGGAUGAUCCGCCACACUGGGACUGAGACACGGCCCAGACUCCUACGGGAGGCAGCAGUGGGGAAUAUUGGACAAUGGGCGGAAGCCUGAUCCAGCCAUGCCGCGUGUGUGAAGAAGGCCUUUUGGUUGUAAAGCACUUUAAGCGAGGAGGAGGCUACUAGUACUAAUACUACUGGAUAGUGGACGUUACUCGCAGAAUAAGCACCGGCUAACUCUGUGCCAGCCGCCGCGGUAAUAC
rnacentral:rRNA from 1 species